rnacentral:rRNA from 1 species
GACUCGGUUGGGCGGUCCGCUUAACGGCGUGUACUGUCUGACUGGGCCUUACCUCUUGGUGAGCCAGUGUGCCCUUUAUUGGUGUGCAUUGGGGAACCAGGACUUUUACCUUGAGAAAAUUGGAGUGUUUAAAGCAGGCUUUCAAGCUUGAACAUAUUAGCAUGGAAUAAUGAAAUAGGA